rnacentral:tRNA from 1 species
GGGGCGGUAGCUCAGCCGGUCAGAGCAGAGGACUCAUAAUCCUUGGGUCGUGGGUUCGAGCCCCACCCGCCCUACUA